UUAUUAAUGCAAUGGAUGAUGUUGUUGCUUGUUUACUACUUUACAUUGUUGUGAUAUUAUACAUGACGUCCUCCGCCCCAGAACGUUUCCGCCGUUCUUGGUUUUGGGGUGUGACAUACACUUAGCCACUCGAGGCUAAAGCUCUACUUAACCUUCCGGUCAAUGUGUCUCAGUGGGACCUUCCGGUCCCACACUCCGGUAGACCUUCCAGCCCUACCAUGAUUUGCCUUCUGACCCUAACUUUGGUUUCCUUCCGACCAUAACUCUGAUUGCCUUCCGGCCAUAACUCUGUCGACCUUCCGGUCCCAAGUCAUACAUCAUAUACAUAUCACAUAAGUCACAAAGCUCAUACCAAUAUAUAAGACCUUCCGGUCACAUAUCACAUAAGUCACAUAGCUCAUACAAAUAUAUAAGACCUUUCGGUCACAUAUCACAUAAGUCACAUAGCUCAUACAAAUAUAUAAGACCUUCCGGUCACUUAUCACAUAAAGUCUCAUAACUCAUUCAUACACAUAAGACCUUCCGGUCACACCUAGUUACCAUUCCAGGUAAGGUAUAGUGAAAAGACCCACCUGACACUGCUGAAGUCCUGCAGACUCAAUCCCACACUGCUAAAGUCCUACAGACUCAAUCCCAUACUACUGAAGUCCUACAGACUCAACCCCAGCUGCUGGAUGACAAAUUCCCGAUCUGUCAAUAUCAAAACAUCACCCAAUUAAUAAUUGGGUCCCAUUACAUAACCAUAAAUACAUACUUUGGAUAAUUACUAAAUUACCCCGGGCUUGGCUUUAUUUAAGCCCAAGGCCCAAUCCAUAGGCCCAAAGUCAAUUAGGAAUCAAAUCCCAACAUAUGGCCCAAUUUUCCAAAUUGGGCCUAGGCCUAUACAUGGUCUUAUUCUAAGGCCCAACCUCAUAGAAUCAUUACGGCCCAAACUAUGCCCCAUCUAUAACCCAAUUUUCCAAAUUGGGCCCAACUCCUCAUAUGGGCCUUACCCUAAAGCCCAUUAAUUAUUCUAGUCCAAUUGCCUGACUUUGGGUGGCCCAAUAAUAAUCCAAUCAUCAAGGCCCAAUAAUACACCCAAGUGAAAUUAGGGUUUUCACAUAAAAUGAUGAUUAGGGUUAAGUCUUCUCACUUAACCCAUUAAGCACUUAAUCCAUUAAGUCCACUAUUACUUAAAUUAAUUUCUUGCCAAUGAUUAUUAAUUAAUAUCUCCAGUUAUUAAAUAAUUCAUGUGUGUCCCGAUUAAUUCUCCAAAUAAGGGUUUCAAACCAAAAUACUAGCCCAUUAGGGUUUUAUUGGGUCCAUUAGAGUCCAUUAAGCUUCAUUGGGCCCAUUAGGGCUCACAAGGCCCAUUAGGGUUUCAAGCAUCCCUAAUCGAGUCAACUCACAAGACAAGCACACCGCCACCCGACACGGCGGCCGGUGGCGGCAAGAGGCGGCAGCCACCACCUCACGGUGGUGGUUCGAUUUAUCCUUUCAUUAUUCCAGUUUGGUUACAAAGAUACAACACGAUAAUCCAAUAAACGCACACACACACAAUAACACCUACACACACACCCAGCCACCCCUGCGGCGGCAAGCAACGGUUGGAGGUGGUGGUGAUGGCCUUUCCAUGAAUUCCGGUUACACAACAUACACACACACUUAACACAAUGUAGCAACAACACACAUACACACAAACACCUAAAUACAUAGCACAACUCGCACACAGCCACCUUCCACGGUGGCUAGUGGCGACGGAAAGUAAAACAACACGCGGAAGUGACGAAGAUGAGUGGAACAGUCGCUGGGGCGGCAGUGGACGAGGCUAAAAUGCACGGUUGGGUGACGGCAGCACGAAGAGGAGCAAGAAGAGGAUCAUAUGCGUCAUCUCAGAUGGAAGAAGUUCAGACACCGCCAUGAAUUUCCGACUACACACGCAUAUGGCGUACCUUGCCUUUGUUGAUGGCAGUACCGGCGGUCACAACCAACAACAAGUGACAUCGGUGUGUAACGGACGGCAGGAGCCGCGAUAGCAGCCUCUUGGUGGCUGUUGCAAGUUACCGACGAACAAAAGAAGAAGGAGAAAGAAUGAUGACGGCAGCAACUCGGUCAAACCACCGUAUGGCGGUAGUGUCAGCAACGAGGCUCGAUCAACACCCUCGAUUGGUCCUCCCCGAAAUGAAAACGGUCUUGGCGGCAUCCUCCGGCGACCCUAAGGUCCGAUGAUUCUUCAGAUGGCGGCAGUUAGAGAAGGAGGGUGGAAAGGGAGUGGGGUGGCGGCUGGAGGAUCAUACACGAUGGCUAGAGAGAAU
rnacentral:lncRNA from 1 species